AAUGAACGUUGGCGGCGUGGAUUAGGCAUGCAAGUCGUGCGGCAGCAGGCCCCGCAAGGGGCGCUGGCGAGCGGCGAAAGGGAUAGUAAUGUGUGGAUACCUGCCCUGGGGACGGGGAUAGCUGCUGGAAACGGCAAUUAAUACCCGAUGAUGUCUCCGGACCAAAGGUGUGAUUCCGCCCUAGGAGGGGUCCACAUCCUAUUAGCUAGUUGGUGAGGUAACGGCUCACCAAGGCCACGAUGGGUAGCAGGUGUGAGAGCACGACCCGCAUCACUGGGACGGAGACACUGCCCAGACACCUACGGGUGGCUGCAGUCGAGGAUCUUCGGCAAUGAGCGAAAGCUUGACCGAGCGACGCCGCGUGCGGGAUGAAGGCCUUCGGGUUGUAAACCGCUUUCGGAGGGGAGGAAAUCUAGGGGGGAUCACCCUUCUAGUUGACCUAUCCUAGGAAGUAGGACGGGCUAAGCUCGUGCCAGCCGCCGCGGUAAGAC
rnacentral:rRNA from 1 species